rnacentral:rRNA from 1 species
ACAAUAAACUAUCUCACCGCUGAAUGUACCUGAUCUCGUCUGGUCUUGGAUGGAAGCUAAGCAGGGUCGGGCCAGGUUGGUAGUAUUUGGAUAGAAGACACCCAGGGAAACCAGGUGCUGCUGGCU